GACGAACGCUGGCGGCGUGCUUAACACAUGCAAGUCGAACGGAAAGGCCCUGCUUUUGUGGGGUGCUCGAGUGGCGAACGGGUGAGUAACACGUGAGUAACCUGCCCUUGACUUUGGGAUAACUUCAGGAAACUGGGGCUAAUACCGGAUAGGAGCUCCUGCUGCAUGGUGGGGGUUGGAAAGUUUCGGCGGUUGGGGAUGGACUCGCGGCUUAUCAGCUUGUUGGUGGGGUAGUGGCUUACCAAGGCUUUGACGGGUAGCCGGCCUGAGAGGGUGACCGGACACAUUGGGACUGAGAUACGGCCCAGCCUCCUACGGGAGGCAGCAGUGGGGAAUAUUGCACAAUGGGCGGAAGCAUGAUGCAGCAACGCCGCGUGCGGGAUGACGGCAAUCGGGUUGUAAUCCGCUUUCGCCUGUGACGAAGCGUGAGUGACGGUAAUGGGUAAAGAAGCACCGGCUAACUACGUG
rnacentral:rRNA from 1 species